UACGUAGGUGGCGAGCGUUAUCCGGAAUUAUUGGGCGUAAAGGGCGCGCAGGUGGUUGAUUAAGUCUGAUGUGAAAGCCCACGGCUUAACCGUGGAGGGUCAUUGGAAACUGGUCGACUUGAGUGCAGAAGAGGGAAGUGGAAUUCCAUGUGUAGCGGUGAAAUGCGUAGAGAUAUGGAGGAACACCAGUGGCGAAGGCGGCUUCCUGGUCUGUAACUGACACUGAGGCGCAAAAGCGUGGGUAGCAAACAGGAUUAGAUACCCU
rnacentral:rRNA from 1 species